CAGCACCUCAAGUGGUCAGGAUGAUUAUUGGGCCUAAAGCAUCCGUAGCCGGCGCUGUAAGUUUUCGGUUAAAUCUGUACGCUCAACGUAUGGGCUGCCGGGAAUACUGCAAAGCUAGGGAGUGGGAGAGGUAGGCGGUACUCGGUAGGAAGGGGUAAAAUCCUUUGAUCUAUUGAUGACCACCUGUGGCGAAGGCGGUCUACCAGAACACGUCCGACGGUGAGGGAUGAAAGCUGGGGGAGCAAACCGGAUUAGAUACCCGAGUAGUCC
rnacentral:rRNA from 1 species